rnacentral:misc_RNA from 1 species
AACGGUCUAUACCUGCGGUACCUGCGGAAGGAUCAUUACAGAGUUCGUGCCCUCUGGGUAGAUCUCCCACCCACUGUUUUCCUUACGACCGUUGCUUUGGCGGGCCGCCGGCCCUGCCCGGCCGCCGGCGCCCAGCUGGCGCGCGCCCGCCAGAGGCCCUCCAGACUCUGAAUGUUAGCGUCGUCUGAGUACCACAUAAUAAGUUAAAACUUUUAACAAUGGAUCUCUAGAUCGGAAGAG